rnacentral:rRNA from 1 species
GACGAACGCUGGCGGCGUGCUUAACACAUGCAAGUCGAACGGAAAGGCCCUGCUUUUGUGGGGUGCUCGAGUGGCGAACGGGUGUGUAACACGUGAGUAACCUGCCCUUUACUUUGGGAUAACUUCAGGAAACUGGGGCUAAUACCGGAUAGGAGCUCCUGCUGCAUGGUGGUGGUGGGAAAGUGUCGGCGGUUUGGGAUGUACUUGCGGCUUAUCAGCUUGUUGGUGGGGUAGUGGCUUACCAAGGCUUUGACGGGUGGCCGGCCUGAGAGGGUGACCGGCCACAUUGGGACUGAGAUACGGCCCAGACGCCUACGGGAGGCAGCAGUGGGGAAUAUUGCACAAUGGGCGGAAGCCUGAUGCAGCAACGCCGCGUGCGGGAUGACGGCCUUCGGGUUGUAAACCGCUUUCGCCUGUGACGAAGCGUGAGUGACGGUAAUGAGUAAAGAAGCACCGGCUAACUACGUG